CUGCUGCCUUCCGUAGGAGUCUGGUCCGUGUCUCAGUACCAGUGUGGGGGACCUUCCUCUCAGAACCCCUACGCAUCGUCGCCUUGGUGGGCCGUUACCCCGCCAACUAGCUAAUGCGCCGCAUGGCCAUCCUAUGCCGGAGUCGCCUCCUUUGACCACCUGGAGGUGUCUCCAAAUGGUGUUAUGCGGUAUUAGACGGAAUUUCUUCCGCUUAUCCCCCUGCAUAGGGCAGGUUCCAUACGUGUUACUCACCCGUGCGCCGG
rnacentral:rRNA from 1 species